GCCAAAGUCUUUCCCAUAGUCUUUCAUUAUACGAAUGGGCUCCAUGGCAUAGCUAUCUGGGGUAUCACCGCUCAAACAGGGCAAGCACCAAAUGACCCGGCUUUCAUGUCUUUGCAAGGGAAAAUCAAGCCUUUUAACAUGGGGCCAUAAUCCAAAGGCAACAGGCGAGCAACCAGGCUUCUCCAAUGCAAUGUGGCGAGAUUGGUCUUGUCACAAACAGCAAUACUAUACCUGACAUUGGCAAGCAGAUACCUUUUGUUUAUCGCAUUGCUGAACUUCAUGAAAGCUGGUUCUACUCAGAAUCUCACGACCUCAGCUCCAGGCUUGCAGAACAUCUCGGUUGUGCCAAAAGGAUGUGGACAUGAUAUCAAAUCAAUGUACUUUGUACUUUGUGAUAUGAAUGCAGCAUGGGGAAUUAUAAUAGAAGCCGUGGCAGCCUUAGGAAUUGUUUCCACCUUUGUGCUGAUAUUGAUAUUUUUGGCAUUGGCUCCAUCAGUUAUUCGGGAUGAACGCAAAGGUUCCUUAGCCAUUAAUGCUAUGUUUUUAGUAGGUGUCUUUGGCCUUUUUGCUUUAGUUUUUUCCUUUCUCGUUGCACCUACUGCUGUGGUAUGUGUGUGCCGCAGAUUUUUAUUUGGAGUACUAUUUGCUAUGUGCUUUUCAUGUUUGGUGGCACAUUCAGUCAGGCUUAACUACCUGGUGUUUCAAAAUCGUGGACCUGGUGGGUGCUGGAUAUUUUCUUUGGCCCUUGGACUUUUUAUGGUGGAGGCUCUAAUAAACAUAGAGUGGCUUCUUAUCACAAAUGUACAUCACAAUCUUUUGUCUCCAUCUCAGCCUGACAGCCCCUGUAAUAUUACCAACCAGGACUUUGUGACUGCAUUGGUGAUUUGUGAUGUUCCUCAUACUGGCCUCACUAUUUAUUCCUUGUCCAGUGUUCUUUGGACAUUAUCUACAAUGGAAGCACCAUGGAAAAUACAUUGCUUUAACA